AAAUUUGUAGCAACUAGCACAGGCCCAAGGGAUACACGUCCCGGUGCCCCCACCACCACCUCCCGUUCAUUAUCCUUGGUCUUCACCUCCACCUACACCUACAUCUCUACCUACCGAACAUCAGGUAUGCAAAUUCAUCAUCAUUUACUUGUUGUUACUUAUAUUAUGAUGUAACUCAGCAAAUAUCAUUUGUACAUGUAUAUUAGACCCCUCCAGCUACCUUGCCGAUGCAUGAAUGAGAAGACAGGUCAGACUUUGUCGAAACCCUCUUCGCUAGUGGAGGUAUCGACCAUCACUCGUCACUGUAACCCGAUGGUGAUCGGCGACCGUGAGCUUCCAUGUUAUUGUGUUCUGAUACUUGAGACUUUUAUUAUGACUAUGUAUGAGAUAUUGUCUCUUAUUAGUACUGAA
rnacentral:lncRNA from 1 species